rnacentral:rRNA from 1 species
UACGUAGGGUGCAAGCGUUGUCCGGAAUUAUUGGGCGUAAAGGGCUCGUAGGCGGCUUUGUAAGUUAGAGGUGAAAGCCCAGGGCUCAACCCUGGAAUUGCCUUUAAGACUGCAUCGCUUGAACAUCGGAGAGGUAAGUGGAAUUCCGAGUGUAGAGGUGAAAUUCGUAGAUAUUCGGAAGAACACCAGUGGCGAAGGCGACUUACUGGACGAUUGUUGACGCUGAGGUGCGAAAGCGUGGGGAGCAAACAGG